rnacentral:rRNA from 1 species
UAGGGAAUCUUCCGCAAUGGACGCAAGCCUGACGGAGCAACGCCGCGUGAGUGAAGAAGGACUUCGGUUCGUAAAACUCUGUUGUUAGAGAAGAACAGCGCAUAGAGUAACUGUUAUGCGUGUGACGGUAUCUAACCAGAAAGCCACGGCUAACUACGUGCCAGCAGCCGCGGUAAUACGUAGGUGGCAAGCGUUGUCCGGAUUUAUUGGGCGUAAAGCGAGCGCAGGCGGUCAAUUAAGUCUGAUGUGAAAGCCCCCGGCUCAACCGGGGAAUGUCAUUGGAAACUGGUUGACUUGAGUGCAGAAGAGGAGAGUGGAAUUCCAUGUGUAGCGGUGAAAUGCGUAGAUAUAUGGAGGAACACCAGUGGCGAAGGCGACUCUCUGGUCUGUAACUGACGCUGAGGUUCGAAAGCGUGGGUAGCAAACAGG